AAAUUCUAUAGCAAGUCCUUUUUGUCUCUAGCAAAGAUUAGUGUAAGAAUUAUUACACAGAUCAUAGUGAAUCAUCAGAGAGCAGUGGUUCUCAACUGGUGUGAUUUUGUACUCAGGUGACAUUUGGUAAUGUCCAGAGACACUUUUGCUUGACAAAACUGUGGUUGUGCUCCUGGCAUCUGGUGGGCAGAGGCCAGAGAUGCUGCUAAACCUCCUGCAGAGUAUAAGACAAACCCCCACGGCAAAGAGUUAUAUAGUCCAAAAUGUCGAUGGUACUGAAGUUGUGAAAUCCUGUUCUAGAGAAAUGAAGAUCACUUAACACAGGUAUUUACUGAGCGUUCACUGUUUUGUAGCUAAUGUAUCACAUGUGCAAUAUUAAAGUAUAAAUCAUAAGCCAGUAUCUUCCACAGUGAGAUUGCCUUAGUGCACAGAGAAAGGAUUGAGGUGAUGUUCCAUCCUAUGUAAAUUAGACUCACAGCAAAUGAUAAAUGUUCUGAAAUAAUUUUUUUUUCCUUUGGCUUAUGUCUUUUUUUGUAGAAAUCUGGGCUGCAAUUUAAUUACAGAACUGAGCCUUGGAACAUUUCAGGCCUGGCACGGAAUGCAGUUUUUACACAACUUGAGGCAUGAGGAGGUGAGAGAUGGAAAGAAUGCUGUCUGUCAUUUGGAGUCAGAAGGAAAAGAAGGUUGAGGGUCUGCCAGCUCUGCUCUAGUGGUUUUUUCCUGUUUCACCUUUUACAAAAUCGAGAUAAUCGUUUCUACUUGGUAGCGAUAUUGUGAGGUGUAAAAUGGAUUAAUACAUGGAAAAUGCUUAAAGCAACUUCUGGCAUACGGUGAUCGCUCAACCAAUCCAUUGUUAUUUUAUUAUUAUUAUUUUUGUAAGACAGAGUUUUGCUUUUGUUACCCAGGCUGGAGUGCAAUGGUGUGAUCUCGGCUCACUGCAACCUCUGUUUCCCGGAUUCAAGCGAUUUUCCUCCUCCUGAGUAGCUGAGAUUACAGGUGCCCA
rnacentral:lncRNA from 1 species